UACAGAGGUCUCAAGCGUUGUUCGGAUUCAUUGGGCGUAAAGGGUGCGUAGGCGGCGCGGUAAGUCGGGUGUGAAAUUUCGAGGCUUAACUUCGAAACUGCAUUCGAUACUGCCGUGCUUGAGGACUGGAGAGGAGACUGGAAUUUACGGUGUAGCGGUGAAAUGCGUAGAUAUCGUAAGGAAGACCAGUGGCGAAGGCGGGUCUCUGGACAGUUCCUGACGCUGAGGCACGAAGGCCCAGGGGAGCAAAACGGGG
rnacentral:rRNA from 1 species